CUUAACAUUAUUCUAGGAGUUCCCAACUGAAAGAUUAGCUAAGAAGCAUGAGUUGAGUAUUCAUCAUCCGGAAAUCAGUAAAAAGUUCAAGUGUACCCAGAAAAACUGUGGAAAAGCUUUUCAUGACUCAAGCAAACUCCGUCUUCAUGCACAAACGCAUUCUUCUGGAGAGAAGCCGUAUGUAUGUGAUCAGUGUGGAAAAGGAUUUAAUUGGAUCGGAUCAUUCCAGGACCACAGGGAUAUGCACGAGGGUAACCGGAAGUUUGCUUGUGAUUUCUGUAAUAAACGGUUUACUAAACGGAAUACUUUAAAUAAUCACAGAAGGCUUCACACAGGUGAGCGGCCCUUCCUAUGCCCGGCACAAGGUUGUGGGCUGACUUUUGUGCAGCGCACAGCUUGUAAAUCCCACGCGCGG